rnacentral:rRNA from 1 species
UUGAUUAUGACGUACUUGUACUGAUUGAGAUUUUAACACGAAGUGAGUGGCGAACGGGUGAGUAACACGUGGGUAACCUGCCCAGAAGUAGGGGAUAACACCUGGAAACAGAUGCUAAUACCGUAUAACAGAGAAAACCGCAUGGUUUUCUUUUAAAAGAUGGCUCUGCUAUCACUUCUGGAUGGACCCGCGGCGUAUUAGCUAGUUGGUGAGGUAAAGGCUCACCAAGGCAGUGAUACGUAGCCGACCUGAGAGGGUAAUCGGCCACAUUGGGACUGAGACACGGCCCAGACUCCUACGGGAGGCAGCAGUAGGGAAUCUUCCACAAUGGACGCAAGUCUGAUGGAGCAACGCCGCGUGAGUGAAGAAGGGUUUCGGCUCGUAAAGCUCUGUUGUUAAAGAAGAACGUGGGUAAGAGUAACUGUUUACCCAGUGACGGUAUUUAACCAGAAAGCCACGGCUAACUACGUGCCAGCAGCCGCGGUAAUACGUAGGUGGCAAGCGUUAUCCGGAUUUAUUGGGCGUAAAGCGAGCGCAGGCGGUCUUUUAAGUCUAAUGUGAAAGCCUUCGGCUCAACCGAAGAAGUGCAUUGGAAACUGGGAGACUUGAGUGCAGAAGAGGACAGUGGAACUCCAUGGUUAACCC